rnacentral:pre_miRNA from 1 species
AGGAGGAACAGCCCCAGUGGCGGAGCAGCUCUGGAAACCUGGAUUCAGCUCCGGCAGGAACUCCGUCUGCAGGGCCUGGAGGCUCCGGGGCGGG